GGGGAUAUAGCUCAGUGGUAGAGCUCAUGCUUAGCAUGCAUGAGGUCCUGGGUUCAGUCCCCAGUAACUCCA
rnacentral:tRNA from 1 species